AGCGACCUAGGGCAAAACUAGUAACUGGGGCUAAGUCGUAACAAGGUAGCCGUACCGGAAGGUGUGGCUGGAACACCUCCUUUUUGGAGCUUA
rnacentral:rRNA from 1 species